rnacentral:tRNA from 1 species
GCUUUGGCGCAGAUGGUAGAGCAUCAGACUUUUAAUCUGAGGGUCCAGGGUUCAAGUCCCUGUUCAGGCG